rnacentral:rRNA from 1 species
AGUUAAGAAACUAAGUGCAUACGGUGGAUGCCUAGGCAGCAGAAGGCGAUGAAGGACGUAAUAGCUUGCGAUAAGCCUCGGGGAGUUGGCAAAUAAACUUUGAUCCGGGGAUUUCCGAAUGGGGCAACCCACUUACAUUUGUAAGUAUUAAUAAUUGAAUACAUAGGUUAUUAAGGCAAACCUGGGGAACUGAAACAUCUAAGUACCCAGAGGAAAAGAAAUCAAACAGAGAUUCCGUUAGUAGCGGCGAGCGAAUGCGGAACAGCCCAGUCAUCAAAUCAUUAAGUAUGUUAGUGGAAGUAGCUGGAAAGCUACGCAACAAUGGGUGAUAGCCCCGUACACGAAAACAUGCUUAUUGUGGGUGACGAAGAGUAGGUCGGAACACGUGUUAUUUUGACUGAAUAUGGGGGGCCCAUCCUCCAAGGCUAAAUACUCUCUGCUGACCGAUAGUGAACCAGUACCGUGAGGGAAAGGCGAAAAGAACCCCUGUGAGGGGAGUGAAAUAGAUCCUGAAACCGUAUGCAUACAAGCUGUGGGAGCACGUUGAUUAAUUCAUGUGUGACCGCGUACCUUUUGUAUAAUGGGUCAGCGACUUACUUGCAGUGGCAAGCUUAACCUAAUGGGGGAGGCGAAGGGAAACCGAGUCUGAUAAGGGCGCCAAGUCUCUGUAAGUAGACCCGAAACCGGGCGAUCUAUCCAUGGCCAGGAUGAAGGUUGGGUAAAACCAAUUGGAGGUCCGAACCCACUGAUGUUGAAAAAUCACGGGAUGAGCUGUGGAUCGGAGUGAAAGGCUAAUCAAGCCCGGAGAUAGCUGGUUCUUCUCGAAAACUAUUGAGGUAGUGCCUCAUGUAUCACACUUGGGGGUAGAGCACUGUUUCGGCUAGGGGGCUGUCAUGGCUUACCAAACCGAUGCAAACUCCGAAUACCAAGUUGUGCAAGCAUGGGAGACACACGGCGGGUGAUAACGUCCGUCGUGGAGAGGGAAACAACCCAGACCGCCAGCUAAGGUCCCUAAAUGACAGUUAAGUGGAAAACGAGGUGGGAUAACUUAAACAGCCAGGAGGUUGGCUUAGAAGCAGCCAUCCUUUAAAGAUAGCGUAAUAGCUCACUGGUCGAGUCGUCCUGCGCGGAAGAUGUAACGGGGCUAAACUGUCUACCGAAGCUGCGGAAUCAAAACUUUGUUUUGAUUGGUAGAGAAGCGUUCUGUAAGCCGUUGAAGCUUGACCGAGAGGACAGGUGGAGGUAUCAGAAGUGAGAAUGCUGACAUGAGUAACGAUAAUGCGAGUGAAAAACUCGCACGCCGAAAGUCUAAGGUUUCCUUGCGCCAUGCUAAUCAGCGCAGGGUGAGUCGGCCCCUAAGGUGAGGCAGAAAUGCGUAAUCGAUGGGAAACAGGUUAAUAUUCCUGUACUUUAAAUGAUUUGUGAUGGGAGGACGGAGAAAGCUAAGUCAGCCAGGUGAUGGUUGUCCUGGUUUAAGCAUGUAGGUGCAGUGCUAUGGAAAAUCCGAGCGCUGAUAUCGCUGAGAUGUGAUGACGACCUCCGCGUAAGCUUGCUUGCAACGAGGGAAGUGGCUGAUGCUAUGCUUCCAAGAAAAGUCUCUAAGCUUAUAAUCAUUUAAAACCGUACCGUAAACCGACACAGGUGGACAGGUAGAGAAUACUAAGGCGCUUGAGAGAACUCGGGUGAAGGAACUCGGCAAAAUGACACCGUAACUUCGGGAGAAGGUGUGCCCUGGUUGGUGAUAAGCCUCGCGCUUUGAGCUGACCAGGGUCGAAGAUACCAGGUGGCUGAGACUGUUUAUUAAAAACACAGCACUCUGCAAACUCGAAAGAGGACGUAUAGGGUGUGACGCCUGCCCGGUGCCGGAAGGUUAAUUGAUGUGGUUAGUUCUUCGGAGCGAAGCUGUUGAUCGAAGCCCCGGUAAACGGCGGCCGUAACUAUAACGGUCCUAAGGUAGCGAAAUUCCUUGUCGGGUAAGUUCCGACCUGCACGAAUGGCGUAACAAUGGCCACGCUGUCUCCACCCGAGACUCAGUGAAAUUGAAUUUGCUGUGAAGAUGCAGUGUACCCGCAGCUAGACGGAAAGACCCCGUGCACCUUUACUACAGCUUUACACUGAUAUUUGAAUAAAUAUGUGCAGGAUAGGUGGGAGGCUUUGAUGCGAUCUCGUCAGGGAUCGUUGAGCCACCCUUGAAAUACCACCCUUAUUUAUUUAACUAUCUAACCUAGAUCCGUCAUCCGGAUCGGAGACAGUGUAUGGUGGGUAGUUUGACUGGGGCGGUCUCCUCCUAAAGAGUAACGGAGGAGUACAAAGGUACUCUCAGCGCGGUCGGAAAUCGCGCAUUGUGUAUAAAGGCAUAAGAGUGCUUGACUGCGAGACUGACAGGUCGAGCAGGUACGAAAGUAGGUCUUAGUGAUCCGGUGGUCCCGAAUGGAAGGGCCAUCGCUCAACGGAUAAAAGGUACGCCGGGGAUAACAGGCUGAUACUGCCCAAGAGCUCAUAUCGACGGCAGUGUUUGGCACCUCGAUGUCGGCUCAUCACAUCCUGGGGCUGCAGCAGGUCCCAAGGGUAUGGCUGUUCGCCAUUUAAAGUGGUACGUGAGCUGGGUUUAGAACGUCGUGAGACAGUUCGGAUCCUAUCUACUGUGGGUGUUGGAAAUUUGAGAGGAGCUGCUCCUAGUACGAGAGGACCGGAGUGGACGUACCGAUGGUGUUCCGGUUGUCACGCCAGUGGCAUCGCCGGGUAGCUAAGUACGGAACGGAUAACCGCUGAAAGCAUAUAAGCGGGAAGCCAACCUCAAAACGAGAUUUCCCUUCUAGUAAUGCUAGACUAAAGGUCCGUUGAAGACGACAACGUUGAUAGGCUGGGUGUGGAAGUACAGUAAUGUAUGGAGCUAACCAGUACUAAUUGACCGUGAGACUUAACUUG